GAGCAGGCAGCUACGAUGGAGCGGGAAAGAGGAAAUGCUGAUGUGGCAGAGAUGGCGGCGAACUCACAGCAGACUGAACUCCUCUGGUGUUCAUGCCCAGGACUUCCAGCUUUGUUCCUUACCUUGUGAACUCCUUCGGACUCCACCUUGAAAACCAUGUCGUGAGUCUCCUUACCCCUCCUGCUGCCUGCUUUCUGGACUCAGAGAUCAUUCCCCAGGGAACACACAACCACUGCUCACCUACCUGUCCACCCUCCAACACCUUUUGCCUCUCUGAAGCGCUGAUCGAAAGAGAAAAAUUCAGUUCCUAAAACCUCUGGAUAACUCCACCUGUUAAACUCAGCUUCUGUGGAUGACGUACCUACUGCUGACAAGCUUCCACCCUUCUCCGACAUGCUGGGCCAGAUCCAUCCGGAAGGUCCUGACAGUUUACCAUUCUCACCCUGUUGUCCUUCAAUAAACUCUUUCAAAAGCUG